AUUGAAACGCCAAUUCCCAUACGAUCACCAAAGUUAAGCAAUGUUGAGCUUGAUCAGAACCUAGAUGGGUGACCAUUUGGGAAUAACAGGUUCUG